AAGCGCCGUAUACCGGACGGUAAGUACGGUGCUGUGGGAGGUCGGCUGAUCAAUUAAUGAUCAGCCUCCUGCCCGAU
rnacentral:misc_RNA from 1 species